rnacentral:lncRNA from 1 species
CUUUUUCUUGGCUGGAUGUUCUCUAUCCCUGUUUCACCUCCUGCGGCUCCCCGCUUCUCAGCAGGUGGCCCUGUCCCCACCUUUACCAGCCCACCCCACAGGUAUUUUGGCUGAGCCGAGGCCUUGUCUUGGGUGGGUUUAGGGGUUGCGUGCUGGGGGAUGGUCAAGAAGAAAUACCAAUUUGUGACAUUGUCCGGCUUAACCCAGGAAUGCCAAUUCACAAAACUGUCACCAGAUCCCAAAGCACCAGAACCUUCCCCCCACAGCUAAGGCCUGCCCAUAGAUGGACAGGGAGGUGAACAGGCAGCAAGCAGGACCCUCUGGUCCACCCCAGGACUCAUCAACCUCACGCGUCAGCAAGGGAAAUGAACCCUCUAGGUAUUUCUUAGGUUUCUAGGUACAGACUUACAAGCCCUCGUCACUGGAGAAGAUGGCUGUUUGCAGGACCCUGACCACGUGAUCAUCCUUCCGGCCAGCCUUCCUCCUUCGGGCCCCUUACUCCCGGGCUCUGGUCAUCCCAGCCAUGCCUCCAUACCAGCUCUGCCAGAGACCGUUUUUAAAGGGCUGGGUCUGCUCAGGAGCGUCCGCAUUAAGAUCUGCCCAGGAGAAGGGACAACUUCAAGGUAAAGGUUAACAUGAGGUGGGGGUGGGGGGGGCAUGGAGUGAUGUUUAUCCCUUCUUGGUAAGAGGUGGAUGGGUCUUUCAAGAAAUGAGAUUCUCACCACCUACCGUGGACACGGGAUGAUACAUUAUUCCUUAUAGCUAAGCAUUUGCUACCUCUAAAUCAGCUCUCCGGCCCUGAGGCCCCUUUGCCCUGCCACCCCCACCCCCCGCCCAAACUCCUUGUUCCUGAGUGUGUUCCUUGUUCCUUACCCCAGAAGCUUGCAAAAUAAAACCAAAAAAAAAAAGUCAAUUUUGUACAAAAGGAAAUACAUGAAAAAACUGAAUACUGUUUUCCCCCCCAACUGUAAUAGAACUGCCUUCCACCAUAGAGCAUUUCAAAAUACAGGAGGAUGAAAAGGCUCACAGAAACGCCCAUACCUAGACAGAACGUCUGCUAAUAAACAGAUCCUUCCAGCGUUUUUCCCCCAUGCGCGUAUACCCCCCACCCAGUUAGCAGGAUUGGGGUUUUUUAAAAGGCGUGAGGCUCGCAACCCGUUUGAGCAAUGGCCCUGUGCUCUUGGGAGCUACAGUCUCUCUUUUCUUCUUGCCAAGUGGGACGGGCAGGAGCUCGCCCACAGCCAGGAAGCCCGGAGCUGUCAGUGGCGGGUACUGGAGCCACACUAGGUCUCUCUUCUAAACCGAGAUGGAUGGAGUUGGUGAGGAGGCUGGAAAUGCAGGCUUUGUCCUCACUGAUCUCUAAGUGGGCUGCCGCACGGCUUCUAGACUCUGGUCGCGCUCGGAAUCUGGGGAGCGUUACAGACACGUCAGGGCCUGCUUCCUCCCCAGCAAGGCCAGUUGGAUCUGGGUGGCUGGGGAUAGGGGAGCACCCAGGGACUGGUCUCUUGGUCUUCUCUUCCUCGGGUGAUUCUGUUAAGCAUCCAGAGAACUCUCCGGCCACGCACCCACGAGCUAGAGAUGGAAGAGAUUCUGGCAGCCCGGCCUUCAGAGCCUGAUCGAGGAGAUGUGACCAUUUGCAGUUGGCAGAAUUUCACGUCCAUUAUUUUCUCUGCCGCUCAGAGCCCUCUUUUGGUCCUCAUUCUACGGAUGGAGGGAGUGAGGCAAAAGCGAUCAGGAGACUCGCCGGGAGACACAGUCAAGGAUAGGGCAGCGCUGGGGUUCGGGGCUGCAGCCUUGGACUCCCGCUGCCAGUGCUCUUUCGGUAAUAAGUAUUUAUAAUUAGUAUAUGGUUUUAACAAGCGUAUCAUAACGCUUUGGUCAUCCAGUCCCGGGAGGUGAGUGGGCGGGUGCUGCUGUCUCACGGAGCAUGGUGGGUAUCUGCACCACAGAGAGGCUGGUCCCCCUGCUGUGAGUGCUCCCAGCCAGCCUGGACCCACAGCCGCCCCAAUUCAGCCCUCCGUUGGCCUAGGAUCCCAGCCCUGGGCAGGGCAAGAUUUAACCUCAUUUUCAGAACACAUCAGCCGUGUGGCCUAGGUGACAGCUGGCGGGUGGCUGAGGCCCCUGGUUCCCUGCUCCCGGCCUGGACAGAGGUAUCUAGGAAGGCACACAGCCUGCAUGGGGCUUGCUCAUCUGGGCCCUGCCCUGAGCUGGCAGCCCUCAGGGUCAGGACCCCCUCCGGAGGUGCCUACGUCUCCGGAAGCCUGUCCCUGCCUCUCCUCCUUUCCCUACAGAGCUAGACUCCAGGAGCCUGGCCUGAGGGCCACCUGGGCAGGCUGCCGGUGCAGGGGACUCACGGGCAGGCGCAUGGCGAGCUCCAGGAAGCCGUCAGCUGUUCCUAGACCAGCCUGCAGAGCCGGACGGCCAGCCUGCCUCCAACACGAGGGGUGGAGCCAGGAACUGAGAACACUGCUUUCCCAGAGCCUAGCUGGGCCAGGCCCACGGGCUUUCUCGGGCGCUGAGGGCCUGAGCCUUGGCUCUCUCUCCCUCGGUCUGUCUCCCCCCCUGCCCGCCACCAGCUAUUCCGCGGCAGAGUAUACGCUCUUGGCAAGGCCGUCCAUUUAACCUGCUUCCCAGAAAACAGGAUGGUUGGGCAGGCAGACUCAGCCAGCACCUUGGUGGGAAACAGGGCGGUGGACCUCAGCGCAGGCUUUUCUUGCCCGUACUCCUUGGGGGCCGGGUUGGGAGGUAGCCCUAAGCUGCCUUGGCUUACCUGGGUCAGAAGUAACCUCAGUUCAACUCACAGCCAGGCAGAGGCAAGAGCUUUGAGCUCCUGGAGCUGGGGAGAGGGGAAGGAUAAGCCUUGGCCCAGGAGUCUGAUCAGGGGCACUUAGCUGGGAGCCUUGGGUAAAGCCCCCCAUCUCUGAGUCUGUUACCUCAUUUGUUUGAUGGGCAUAAGAGUGCCCUUUAGAAAUGUGUCUGAAUACAAGGCUUCCGAAUGCAAAAAUGAAGUCGUUGUUUCCCCCUUCUCUCCCCUUCCAGGAGGACACUUCCACAGAGAACCCUGGGAGAUGUCUGGCACAGAGAAGAUGCUCACUUAAUGUAGGUGCACUGCUCCAGAAGUGAGGUCUGGGUCUCAGUGUGUCGGAGGGUGCCUUCCGUCCUUAUCUCUACAAAGGUGACCUUUCCUUCCGCUUCCUCUCUGGCUGUCCUGCCCUGGCCGGACCCCAUAGGGAUCGUGGUUCUGGCUUGAGACGCUGCAUUCCUCUCUGGCCGGGCCCGCCGAGACCCAGAGCCCAGGGAGGACUCCUUCCCCUCCUCGAUGCUCGUCCUGCAAGUCCAGACGCCGUCAACUCCAAGGCGUUCCCUCUGGGCCCGGGCCAGAGUAGCUGCGGCCGAGCUCCUCCCUCCCCCGCCAGCCUCCUUGGGUGCAGACAGCCCAGCACAGGCAGGAAGGGCCUUCUGUUUGCCUUGGCUGGUGGGGAAGAGAUUAGUGCUCGCUUUCUGUUUGGACUCUUGUAUCUAACUAACAGGCAGGCCCGUGACGUCGAAGCAAAGCACACUUGAGCCUUGAAUGAGUUUGGGCCCUGUUCCUGAGGCCCAGCCACUGCAGAGGUGUCUGGAGGUAGGAAGGGGUGAUAACACCACCCCUUGGGUAUAUGGAGAAAUGUAAUGGCCGUCUGUCAGCUGUCCCUACCCAGAGUCCACGACCCUUACUUUGGGUAAUGCCUCCUCAGGAGACCACUUCUCCCCGACCUCGACUUUAGAGGCAAGCAUGGAUCCCCGGACACACACGGAGACUCCCCCUUGGUGGUUUUGCAGCAGCUACGGGGAAAGCCCCCUUGGUGGUUUUGCAGCAGCUACGGGGAAAGAGGCAUUUGCUUUUUUGUGGGAUUUGCCAGGCUGAUGGAACUGCUGGCGGCCAUCCUGUUCUCUGCUUGAGGUCAAAGCCAACAAAGAAGAAAAAGCUCAGAGAUGGAGAGAAUAUGCUGUGCAGAUAUCCAUAAGCCCCUGGAUUGAGCCAUGCCUGAAGCUAACUCUACUCCUGGAUUAACCCGAUUAUAUGAGCCAAUGCAUUUCUUCUGUGCUAAAAUUAUCCUAAGUGGGGUUUCUGUCAUAGAAAGGAGCCUAAUAAAACAGUGUUUUUCUUUGGUCUCAUUAAGAAAAAAAAAUCAACUCUGAGGUAUACUUUGCAUGCAAUAAAAUCUACCCAUUCGAAGUGCUCAAGUCCUAAAUUUUAUCAAAUGUGUACACCCUGGUAACUACCACUGCAGUCGAGAUGUAGAACAUUUCAAGUUCUUAUUCCCCUUUAUAGUCCUUUACCCUGAACAACCACUGACCUGCCUUUGUUGUAGAGAUUAAUUUUGCCUUUCUAGAACUUCAUAUAAAUAUUAUCAUUUAGUGUUUACUCUUCUGUGUCUGGCUUCUUUUAUUCAGCAGGUCUUUGAGAUGCACCCAUGUUGU